GACUCUCGGCAACGGAUAUCUCGGCUCUCGCAUCGAUGAAGAACGUAGCGAAAUGCGAUACUUGGUGUGAAUUGCAGAAUCCCGUGAACCAUCGAGUCUUUGAACGUAAGUUGCGCCCCAAGCCUUCUGGCCGAGGGCACGUCUGCAUGGGUGUCA
rnacentral:rRNA from 1 species